UACGUAGGGGGCAAGCGUUGUCCGGAUUCAUUGGGCGUAAAGAGCGUGUAGGCGGCCAGGUAGGUCGGUUGUGAAAACUGGAGGCUCAACCUCCAGCCUGCAGUGGGUACGGGCAGACUAGAGUGCGGUAGGGGAGAUUGGAAUUCCUGGUGUAGCGGUGGAAUGCGCAGAUAUCAGGAGGAACACCGGUGGCGAAGGCGGGUCUCUGGGCCGAUACUGACGCUGAGGAGCGAAAGCGUGGGGAGCGAACAGG
rnacentral:rRNA from 1 species